rnacentral:rRNA from 1 species
GACGAACGCUGGCGGCGCGCCUAACACAUGCAAGUCGAGCGAGAACCAGGCCUUCGGGCCUGGGGACAGCGGCGAACGGGUGAGUAACACGUGAGUAAUCAACCCUCGGCACCGGGAUAGCCCGGGGAAACCCGGAUUAAUACCGGAUGGCCCAUCCGCUUUUCGGAGCGGCUGGAAAAGGUAGCUUCGGCCUCUGGCCGAGGACGAGCUCGCGGCCGAUUAGCUUGUUGGUGGGGUAAUGGCUCACCAAGGCUCCGAUCGGUAGCUGGUCUGAGAGGACGAUCAGCCACACUGGGACUGAGACACGGCCCAGACUCCUACGGGAGGCAGCAGUGGGGAAUCUUGCGCAAUAGGGGAAACCCUGACGCAGCGACGCCGCGUGCGGGAAGAAGGCCUUCGGGUUGUAAACCGCUUUCAGGAGGGACGAAGCUACUCGGGUGAAUAGCCCAGAGGGUGACGGUACCUCCAGAAGAAGCCCCGGCUAACUACGUGC